UCUAAGUCUCUUCAAUAUCAACACUAUUUCGUUGGGAUUCUCGAGAUGUUGGAUCAGUUGGAAGAGAAGAGAUCAGUGGGGGCGGAAUGUUGGAGAGACACACUGCACAAGUUUCGAAACUGAGAGUUAGGGAAGUUGGAAAAUGUAA
ensembl:ncRNA W06A7.10 ncRNA